rnacentral:rRNA from 1 species
UACGUAAGUGGCGAGCGUUAUCCGGAAUUACUGGGCGUAAAGAGCGCGCAGGCGGUCGUUCAAGUCGCGUGUGAAAGCCCCCGGCUCAACUGGGGAGGGUCACGCGAUACUGAUCGACUCGAAGGCAGGAGAGGGUAGUGGAAUUCCCGGUGUAGUGGUGAAAUGCGUAGAUAUCGGGAGGAACACCAGUGGCGAAGGCGACUACCUGGCCUGUUCUUGACGCUGAGGCGCGAAAGCUGGGGGAGCAAACGGG